rnacentral:pre_miRNA from 1 species
AGUGGAAUUGCAGGGUCAUGUGAUAAUUGUGUGCUUAGCUUGUGGAGGAACUGCCAAACUUUUUCAUAGCAGCUCUACCAUUUUAUGUUUCUACAAGCAAU